UACGGGGGGGGCAAGCGUUGUUCGGAAUUACUGGCGUAAAGGGCGCGUAGGCGGUCAGCACAAGUCAGUUGUGAAAUCUCCGGGCUUAACUCGGAAAGGUCAACUGAUACUGUGCGACUAGAGUGCGGAAGGGGCAACUGGAAUUCUCGGUGUAGCGGUGAAAUGCGUAGAUAUCGAGAGGAACACCUGCGGCGAAGGCGGGUUGCUGGGCCGACACUGACGCUGAUGCGCGAAAGCCAGGGGAGCGAACGGG
rnacentral:rRNA from 1 species